rnacentral:rRNA from 1 species
CGAGACGACGCUGGCGGCGCGCCUAACACAUGCAAGUCGAACGGAGCUGAGAGGAGCUUGCUUUUCUCAGCUUAGUGGCGAGCGGGUGAGUAACGCGUGAGUAACCUGCCCUGGAGUGGGGGACAACAGUUGGAAACGACUGCUAAUACCGCAUAAGCCCACGGAUCCGCAUGGAUCUGCGGGAAAAGGAUUUAUUCGCUUCAGGAUGGACUCGCGUCCAAUUAGCUAGUUGGUGAGGUAACGGCCCACCAAGGCGACGAUUGGUAGCCGGACUGAGAGGUUGAACGGCCACAUUGGGACUGAGACACGGCCCAGACUCCUACGGGAGGCAGCAGGUGGGGGAUAUUGCACAAUGGGGAAACCCUGAUGCAGCGACGCCGCGUGGAGGAAGAAGGUUUUCGGAUUGUAAACUCCUGUCGUUAGGGACGAUAAUGACGGUACCUAACAAGAAAGCACCGGCUAACUACGUG